AUUGAACGCUGGCGGCAGGCUUAACACAUGCAAGUCGAGCGGGGGAAGGUAGCCUGCUACUGGACCUAGCGGCGGACGGGUGAGUAAUGCUUAGGAAUCUGCCUAUUAGUGGGGGACAACAUCUCGAAAGGGAUGCUAAUACCGCAUACGUCCUACGGGAGAAAGCAGGGGAUCUUCGGACCUUGCGCUAAUAGAUGAGCCUAAGUCGGAUUAGCUAGUUGGUGGGGUAAAGGCCUACCAAGGCGACGAUCUGUAGCGGGUCUGAGAGGAUGAUCCGACACACUGGGACUGAGACACGGCCCAGACUCCUACGGGAGGCAGCAGUGGGGAAUAUUGGACAAUGGGGGGAACCCUGAUCCAGCCAUGCCGCGUGUGUGAAGAAGGCCUUAUGGUUGUAAAGCACUUUAAGCGAGGAGGAGGCUACUCUAGUUAAUACCUAGGGAUAGUGGACGUUACUCGCAGAAUAAGCACCGGCUAACUCUGUGCCAGCCGCCGCCGUAA
rnacentral:rRNA from 1 species